rnacentral:tRNA from 1 species
CAUUUUUAGCACAAAUCGAGUAUAUUUGUCUUUCAGGCAAGAAGUUUUUAUAAUGAAGAAAAUGCA